GGUUAUGAUUAGGUCUGCGCUUGCGAGCGAGAGACGCUACGUGUUGAGACGGGUUUAGGCGGUAGACCUACGUAGAAUUGGUGAACUGUGGUUCGUCUAUGAGAUUGAGAUAAACGGUAGGCGAGUAGCCUUGUCGGCGAGUUUAGGCUUGGAUUCACGAACGGGAGUUCGUGUGAGGUUAUUACAAUAGUGGUUCUUCCUACGGUGGUAAUGCACUUUCGGAGUUACACUUAGCAAAUGUGAGUGAAUUUGGUCUCAUAUCCUCCAUAGUGGGCCUUGGAUGAUUUCAAUGAGUAAAAGGUCACUCCAAGAAGGAAAAGUGUAUUGGAAUCCCCGAUUGCUUGAUAAAUCGAGUUGGAAUGUGAUUGGGGUUGAAAUUUGGUUAGUUUCGAGAAUGAAACUCUUUUUAAGGAGUGGAGGAUGUAAGGUACCGAACUUCUAUUGUAAGGUACCGAACUUCUAAAAUUAUGAAGUUACGGUGGAUGUAGUAUGCUGAAUUUUUAAUAUAAAAAUAAAUAUAAAUAAAAAUAGUGUGAGAUACUAUUUUUUUUGGACUUAAGAGUGUAAAGUAUAAGUUGGAAAUGACCUGUGCUGAAAUCGGAGCGAAAACAAAAGAUUUAGAAUUUUCUGUGAGAGACGUGACAGAUAAAUUAGCAGAAAAUGCACAGUGUCAGAAAAUUAUGAAAACUGGAGGAUAUGUCAGAAUUAUUUUUGUGAGGCUAGAAUUAAAGUUUCACCUCAUUCUGACAUCUGGAAGGUGGAAAAUAAAAUCGAACUGCUAUCUGCUAGAGAUUACAGUUCAGUAGAGCUUUCGGUGACCAAAUAGGGUCGAAACUGAAAGAUUAAAAAUCCUUUCGUUAAGUUAAGUAAAACCGAGCAUGACUGCCAAAUUUGAGCUCAAACGGAUAUUCAGAAGGGCAGGCGAAAAAUAUCUGUACCUGAGCU
rnacentral:lncRNA from 1 species